rnacentral:rRNA from 1 species
GAUGAACGCUGGCGGCGUGCCUAAUACAUGCAAGUCGAGCGAACAGACGAGGAGCUUGCUCCUCUGACUUUAGCGGCGGACGGGUGAGUAACACGUGGAUAACCUACCUAUAAGACUGGGAUAACUUCGGGAAACCGGAGCUAAUACCGGAUAAUAUAUUGAACCGCAUGGUUCAAUAGUGAAAGACGGUUUUGCUGUCACUUAUAGAUGGAUCCGCGCCGCAUUAGCUAGUUGGUAAGGUAACGGCUUACCAAGGCGACGAUGCGUAGCCGACCUGAGAGGGUGAUCGGCCACACUGGAACUGAGACACGGUCCAGACUCCUACGGGAGGCAGCAGUAGGGAAUCUUCCGCAAUGGGCGAAAGCUUGACGGAGCAACGCCGCGUGAGUGAUGAAGGUCUUCGGAUCGUAAAACUCUGUUAUUAGGGAAGAACAAAUGUGUAAGUAACUAUGCACGUCUUGACGGUACCUAAUCAGAAAGCCACGGCUAACUACGUG